rnacentral:rRNA from 1 species
AUUGAACGCUGGCGGCAGUCCUAACACAUGCAAGUCGAACGAGUGGCGGACUGGCGAGUAAUGUCUGGGAAACUGCCUGAUGGAGGGGGAUAACUACUGGAAACGGUAGCUAAUACCGCAUAACAUCAGAUGUGCCCAGAUGGGUUUAGCUAGUUGGUGGGGUAAAGGCUCACCAAGGCGACGAUCCCUAGCUGGUCUGAGAGGAUGACCAGCCACACUGGAACUGAGACACGGUCCAGACUCCUACGGGCGGCAGCAGUGGGGAAUAUUGCACAAUGGGCGCAAGCCUGAUGCAGCAAUGCCGCGUGUAUGAAGAAGGCCUUCGGGUUGUAAAGUACUUUCAGCGGGGAGGCGUUACCCGCAGAAGAAGCACCGGCUAACUCCGUGCCAGCAGCCGCGGUAAUUC